CACGUGUCAACCAGACGCGAUGGAUAUGGGGAAUGCGGAUGGUUUUUCUGGUUUCCCGCCGCAGCCGACGAAGUGGCAGCCGAGCUCCUGUCCCAUCCGU
rnacentral:sRNA from 1 species